rnacentral:rRNA from 1 species
CAGUCGCCGCGGUAAUACGGAGGGUGCAAGCGUUAAUCGGAAUUACUGGGCGUAAAGCGCACGCAGGCGGUCUGACAAGUCAGAUGUGAAAUCCCCGGGCUUAACCUGGGAACUGCAUUUGAAACUGUCAGGCUGGAGUCUUGUAGAGGGGGGUGGAAUUCCAGGUGUAGCGGUGAAAUGCGUAGAGAUCUGGAGGAAUACCGGUGGCGAAGGCGGCCCCCUGGACAAAGACUGACGCUCAGGUGCGAAAGCGUGGGGAGCGAACAGGAUUAGAUACCCCUGUAGUCCCUGUCUCUUAUAC